CGGCGGCAACGGCCGCUGCGCAACCGGCGUGAAGACUCGCCCCUCCGCUUCCAGAGCCAGCACGAGCUCUACGCCAGGCACGCGGGCUAGAUCCACGCCGGGAAUAGGGGUGGCCUUACGCAGUUUGCGGCCACGGUGGGGGUCGGCAGUCCGCUACUUACGCCAGUUGUGCAGGCCACAAGACUUCCUUGAGUUAAUUCCUGGUUGAACUAGAGCAGCAUUGUUGUUUUUUUAAGAACAACAUGCUGUCUGGAUUUAAAAGUUACUACUGAUGAAGAAUCCAAAAAGACAACUCUUGCCACCUGAUUCCACGCUGGACCUGCAGUGACUCACUGAACAAAGCACCACCACCUUUAACCAUGUUAGAAAUUAUGGGAAUCCUUACUACACCUUAACUGGGAAGAUAUAUACAAGUUUGCUACAGGCUAGAAGAUCACAUAGUUCAGCUGCUCAGAAGCCCAUGUUAUGA